UAGGGAAUCUUCCGCAAUGGACGAAAGUCUGACGGAGCAACGCCGCGUGAGUGAAGAAGGAUUUCGGUUCGUAAAACUCUGUUGUUAGGGAAGAAAAAAUGUAUAGUAACUAUAUACAAAAGAGACGGUACCUAACCAGAAAGCCACGGCUAACUACGUGCCAGCAGCCGCGGUAAUACGUAGGUGGCAAGCGUUGUCCGGAAUUAUUGGGCGUAAAGCGCGCGCAGGUGGUUUAGAAAGUCUGAUGUGAAAGCCCACGGCUCAACCGUGGAGGGUCAUUUGAAACUAAUCAACUUGAGUGCAGGAGAGGAAAGUGGAAUUCCUAGUGUAGCGGUGAAAUGCGUAGAGAUUCGGGGGAACACCGGUUGCGAAAGCGGCUUUUUGGCCUGCAACUGACACUGAGGCGCGAAAGCGUGGGGAGCAAACAGG
rnacentral:rRNA from 1 species